rnacentral:rRNA from 1 species
GUUGAUAAGGUUAAGUGAAUAAGGGCGCACGGUGGAUGCCUUGGCACUAGGAGCCGAUGAAGGACGGGACUAACACCGAUAUGCUUUGGGGAGCUGUAAGUAAGCUAUGAUCCAGAGAUUUCCGAAUGGGGGAACCCAAUAUCUUUUAUAGGAUAUUACUUUUCAGUGAAUACAUAGCUGAUUAGAGGUAGACGCAGAGAACUGAAACAUCUUAGUACCUGCAGGAAGAGAAAGAAAAUUCGAUUCCCUGAGUAGCGGCGAGCGAAACGGGAAGAGCCCAAACCAACAAGCUUGCUUGUUGGGGUUGUAGGACUCCGAUAUGGUAGUCUGUUAGUAUAGUUGAAGGAUUUGGAAAAUUCCGCUAAAGAGGGUGAAAGCCCCGUAGACGAAAUGCUAACAACACCUAGGAGGAUCCUGAGUACGGCGGAACACGAGAAAUUCCGUCGGAAUCCGCGGGGACCAUCCCGCAAGGCUAAAUACUCCCUAGUGACCGAUAGUGAACCAGUACCGUGAGGGAAAGGUGAAAAGCACCCCGGAAGGGGAGUGAAAUAGAUCCUGAAACCGUGUGCCUACAACAAGUCAAAGCUCGUUAAUGAGUGAUGGCGUGCCUUUUGUAGAAUGAACCGGCGAGUUACGAUUGCAUGCGAGGUUAAGUCGAAGAGACGGAGCCGCAGCGAAAGCGAGUCUGAAUAGGGCGAAUGAGUAUGUAGUCGUAGACCCGAAACCAUGUGAUCUACCCAUGUCCAGGUUGAAGGUGCGGUAAAACGCACUGGAGGACCGAACCCACGUACGUUGAAAAGUGCGGGGAUGAGGUGUGGGUAGCGGAGAAAUUCCAAACGAACUUGGAGAUAGCUGGUUCUCUCCGAAAUAGCUUUAGGGCUAGCCUCGGAAUUGAGAAUGAUGGAGGUAGAGCACUGUUUGGACUAGGGGCCCAUCUCGGGUUACCGAAUUCAGAUAAACUCCGAAUGCCAUUCAUUUAUAUCCGGGAGUCAGACUGCGAGUGAUAAGAUCCGUAGUCGAAAGGGAAACAGCCCAGACCACCAGCUAAGGUCCCAAAAUAUAUGUUAAGUGGAAAAGGAUGUGGGGUUGCACAGACAACUAGGAUGUUGGCUUAGAAGCAGCCACCAUUUAAAGAGUGCGUAAUAGCUCACUAGUCGAGUGACCCUGCGCCGAAAAUGUACCGGGGCUAAACAUAUUACCGAAGCUGUGGACUACACCAUUAGGUGUAGUGGUAGGAGAGCGUUCUAAGGGCGUUGAAGGUCGAUCGUGAGGACGGCUGGAGCGCUUAGAAGUGAGAAUGCCGGUAUGAGUAGCGAAAGACAGGUGAGAAUCCUGUCCACCGUAUGACUAAGGUUUCCUGGGGAAGGCUCGUCCGCCCAGGGUUAGUCGGGACCUAAGC